AGCUUUGCACAGUGGUAGUAUCAUAGCCAAUGAGGUUUAUCCGAGGCGAGAUUAUUGCUAAUUGAAAACAAGGUUGAGUCAGUGAUGGA
rnacentral:snRNA from 13 species